rnacentral:rRNA from 1 species
UACAGAGGUCUCAAGCGUUGUUCGGAUUUAUUGGGCGUAAAGAGCUCGUAGGCGGUUUGUCGCGUCGGCCGUGAAAUCUCCACGCUUAACGUGGAGCGUGCGGUCGAUACGGGCAGACUUGGAGUUCGGUAGGGGAGACUGGAAUUCCUGGUGUAGCGGUGAAAUGCGCAGAUAUCAGGAGGAACACCGAUGGCGAAGGCAGGUCUCUGGGCCACUACUGACGCUGGAGGCGCGAGAGACGUGGGGAGCAAACAGG